CGCUGAAAUCACGCUGAAAACACCGGUUCUCGUUCGAUCACCGAAGUUAAGCAUCGUAGAGCCAGGUCAGUACUUAGAUGGGGGACCGCUUGGGAACACCUGGUACUGUAAG